rnacentral:rRNA from 1 species
GGAUCAGUGGCGAACGGGUGAGUAACACGUGGGCAACCUGCCCUCAGCUCUGGGAUAACUCCAAGAAAUUGGGGCUAAUACCGGAUAUGACUGCUGACCGCAUGGUCUGGUGGUGGAAAGAUUUAUCGGCUGGGGAUGGGCCCGCGGCCUAUCAGCUUGUUGGUGGGGUAGUGGCCUACCAAGGCGACGACGGGUAGCCGGCCUGAGAGGGUGACCGGCCACACUGGGACUGAGACACGGCCCAGACUCCUACGGGAGGCAGCAGUGGGGAAUAUUGCGCAAUGGGCGAAAGCCUGACGCAGCGACGCCGCGUGGGGGAUGACGGCCUUCGGGUUGUAAACCUCUUUCAGCAGGGACGAAGCGAAAGUGACGGUACCUGCAGAAGAAGCACCGGCCAACUACGUGCCAGCAGCCGCGGUAAUACGUAGGGUGCAAGCGUUGUCCGGAAUUAUUGGGCGUAAAGAGCUCGUAGGCGGUUCGUCGCGUCGGCUGUGAAAUCCCGAGGCUCAACCUCGGGCCUG